rnacentral:rRNA from 1 species
GACGAACGCUGGCGGCGUGCUUAACACAUGCAAGUCGAACGAAGAGCGAUGGAAGCUUGCUUCUAUCAAUCUUAGUGGCGAACGGGUGAGUAACGCGUAAUCAACCUGCCCUUCAGAGGGGGACAACAGUUGGAAACGACUGCUAAUACCGCAUACGAUCUAACCUCGGCAUCGAGGAAAGAUGAAAGGUGGCCUCUAUGUAUAAGCUAUCACUGAAGGAGGGGAUUGCGUCUGAUUAGCUAGUUGGAGGGGUAACGGCCCACCAAGGCGAUGAUCAGUAGCCGGUCUGAGAGGAUGAACGGCCACAUUGGGACUGAGACACGGCCCAGACUCCUACGGGAGGCAGCAGUGGGGAAUCUUCCGCAAUGGACGAAAGUCUGACGGAGCAACGCCGCGUGAGUGAUGACGGCCUUCGGGUUGUAAAGCUCUGUUAAUCGGGACGGAAGGCCUUCUUGCGAAUAGUUAGAAGGAAUGACGGACCGGAAUAA